GCAUGGUGGAGGAAAUGAUUCCUGUCACGUAGCCAAAGGGGGCAUAUUUACAUGGCUCCACAUGAUGUGACAAGGAAAUCCUGUUGCAGGGAAUUCAGGAGGAAAACAAAUUUUGCGUGUAGUACUCAUGGUUUUUUGUUCCUCCACUGAUCAUCUUUAAUCUCUGCACCAAAGUAAGGAACCACUGUAAGUAGGGAAUACUGAACACCCUGAAAAGACCUGACUUGAAUAAGAAGCCAGCAACUGUGGAAAGGUCGACAUAACACUGCUCGAUCAGCCUCUAGGUCCUUCCCCCGUGGCAGGCACCAGCCUCCCAGGUACAGGGGUCAGAGCGAGCCAGGACCUAGAUGGGAGCAGGACGAAGCUCUGCCACCUCCCUUUACUCUGUAAUGGGAGAGACACUGCACACUACAGGCACCACAGGGGAUAGCAGUGUGCACAUAUGGGAGAUGGUCUGGAGCCUCCCUGGUAAAGCCCUUUCUUAAUCACCCCUCACAAGGCACAGGUAAUAGGUACGGCACCUUGUUUUUCCUUCUGCAGAUGCAAUUAAAGGGGAUUUUGCCUAUUUUCCUACAGAUUUGGACAGAACGGGGUGGUUUCCAUUAUUAUUUUCCUGCCGUAGGUGCAUUUUAUGAAGAAGUGUCGUUUGUGAUCUAGUAGAAUAUUCUCGGGUCAUUCGUCCUCAGCAUCCCCUUGGCCCUGGUGUGUUUUCUGCUUUGUAGGGGAUUUUCCAUUUCAUACAUUCAGCUAAAUAUCCCCCAAAACACCUAAGGAGUAAAAUCUUAAUAUUUCAUUUUAGAAGAUUUUAUAAAGAAUUUUAAUUAUGAUUAUUGUUUAAUAUUUUAUUUAAAGGAGAAGGUAAAUUCAGAGGCAAAGAAAACAACCUAUUCGGUGUAACCGGUCAAAUGACAUUCCAGGAAUAUUAAUGUCACUGGGGGUCCCUAGUGACUGAAGCUUCAAAAUGUUUGGCUUUCCUCUGUUUAUUUAGUGUCAGAAAAUGUGGAACAAUUUUGCCAAAUUAUUUGGAAGAGACUAAGCGGUGAGUAAUCUGAGUUUUCUCUCUGUUUUUCCAUUCCUUGUGAAACUCGGUAAUAGUAUUUAAACUCAUGUGUGGUGUACUUUUAUCCACAGAAGAAGAAGCAUAAAUGAGUCUGUAGUAAAAAUAUCUGAAUAAGUUUCAACUAUAAGGCCAAGAUGGAGAACUAUGGGUUAGUCACGGAGAAACAAUGUAGAGCAAUGAAGAAAUAAUUUCUUUCUUGCUACCUAUCAAACAGGCGUGUUUACCUAAGUUUUUACUUACCAAACAACUACUUUUUUUUUUUUUUUUUUUUUUUUAAAUA